GAUGAAGAACGUAGUGAAAUGCGAUAAGUAAUGUGAAUUGCAGAAUUCAGUGAAUCAUCGAAUCUUUGAACGCACCUUGCGCCUUUUGGUAUUCCGAAAGGCACACCUGUUUGAGCGUCAUGAAUACCUCAAUCUCCAUCUUUUCUUCGGAUUGAUGGGUGACUUGGAUGUUGAGCCCUGCUGGUAUGCUAUAUCAGCUGGCUUUAAACUUAUUAGCCGGCUCUGUACUGGAUCGGUUUGACUCGACGUGAUAAUAUUAUCGUUGAGGAUGCAUGUCUCAUGCAGCCGGAAAGUAUCAAAGCAGCUUCUAUCUUGCCUUUAGUGCACUUUUACAUUUUAGACCUCAGAUCAGGUGGGACUACCCGCUGAACUUAAGCAUAUCAAUAAGCGGAGGA
rnacentral:misc_RNA from 1 species